GAGUACCGGUUGCCGUAUGAUCACCGAAGUUAAGCAACGAUGAGCCUGGUCAGUACCUAGAUGAGUGACCACUUGGGAAUAACACGUGCUGUUA